AAAUGCGAUAAGUAAUGUGAAUUGCAGAAUUCAGUGAAUCAUCGAAUCUUUGAACGCACCUUGCGCUCCUUGGUAUUCCUUGGAGCAUGCCUGUUUGAGUAUCAUGAAAUCUUCAAAGUAAAUCUUUUGUUAACUCAAUUGGUUUCUACUUUGGUAUUGGAGGUCUUUGCAGCUUCACACCUGCUCCUCUUUGUUCAUUAGCUGGAUCUCAGUGUUAUGCUUGGUUCCACUCGGCGUGAUAAGUUAUCUAUCGCUGAGGACACUGUAAAAGGUGGCCAAAGUAAAUGCAGAUGAACCGCUUCUAAUAGUCCAUUGACUUGGACAAUACUUUUAUGAUCUGAUCUCAAAUCAGGUAGGACUACCCGCUGAACUUAAGC
rnacentral:misc_RNA from 1 species